rnacentral:rRNA from 1 species
UAGUCAUGCUAGUGAGGAAUCAACCUGAUGGUGUGUGGGUUCUCCCUCGCACUUUCCGGUGAAACUUCCUUACCCGGCAGGUUAGCAUCAAUUUCGGUUAUCAUAAAAAAUUUGAGAGAAUGUGGCUUUUCUUCGGAAAAGUGUUAUAGAUCUUGAUCUAUGUGGUGGCCGGGAUUGAGGAUUGCAGCGGAUACCCUCGUGGCUCGUCACCUGGCUUCUGACCGGUUACCCCCCGCUUUCGAUAGCUCGCUAACGUCGGUGGGGACUCGAUUGUCUAGAUGUCAGAGUGAUUG